rnacentral:tRNA from 1 species
GUCUGGCUGGCUCAGUUGGUAGAGCAUGUGGCUCUUGAUCUCAAGGUUGUAAGUUCGAGCCCCAUGUUGGGUA